rnacentral:rRNA from 1 species
GAUGAACGCUGGCGGCGUGCUUAACACAUGCAAGUCGAGCGAUGAAACACCUUCGGGUGCGGAUUAGCGGCGAACGGGUGAGGAACACGUGAGGAAUCUGCCUUCCACUCUGGGAUAACUCCGGGACACCGGGGCUAAUACCGGAGAUGACCUCCUUGGGCAUCCUCGGAGGUGGAAAGUUCUUCGGUGAGGGAUGGGCCCGCGGCCUAUCAGCUUGUUGGUGAGGUAGUGGCUCACCAAGGCGACGACGGGGAGCCGGCCUGAGAGGGCGACCGGCCACACUGGGACUGAGACACGGCCCAGACUCCUACGGGAGGCAGCAGUGGGGAAUAUUGCGCAAUGGGCGAAAGCCUGCCGCAGCAACGCCGCGUGCGGGAUGACGGCCUUCGGGUUGUAAACCGCUUUCAGCAGGGAAGAAGCCGCAAGGUGACGGUACCUGCAGAAAAAGCACCGGCUAACUACGUGCCAGCAGCCGCAGUAA